rnacentral:rRNA from 1 species
UCCUCCCUCUGUCGGCGUGCCUAAUACAUGCAAGUUGAGCGCUGAAGGUUGGUACUUGUACCAACUGGAUGAGCAGCGAACGGGUGAGUAACGCGUGGGGAAUCUGCCUUUGAGCAGGGGACAACAUUUGGAAACGAAUGCUAAUACCGCAUAAAAACUUUAAACACAAGUUUUAAGUUUGAAAGGUGCAAUUGCAUCACUCAAAGAUGAUCCCGCGUUGUAUUAGCUAGUUGGUGAGGUAAAGGCUCACCAAGGCGAUGAUACAUAGCCGACCUGAGAGGGUGGACGGCCACAUUGGGACUGAGACACGGCCCAAACUCCUACGGGAGGCAGCAGUAGGGAAUCUUCGGCAAUGGACGAAAGUCUGACCGAGCAACGCCGCGUGAGUGAAGAAGGUUUUCGGAUCGUAAAACUCUGUUGGUAGAGAAGAACGUUGGUGAGAGUGGAAAGCUCAUCAAGUGACGGUAACUACACAGAAAGGGACGGCUAACUACGUG